rnacentral:rRNA from 1 species
GAACGAACGCUGGCGGCAGGCCUACCACAUGCAAGUCGAGCGAGGACUUCGGUUCUAGCGGCGGACGGGUGAGUAACGCGUGGGAAUGUGCCCUUCUCUACGGAAUAGCCCUGGGAAACUGGGAGUAAUACCGUAUACGCCCUAUUGGGGAAAGAUUUAUCGGAGAAGGAUCAGCCCGCGUUGGAUUAGGUAGUUGGUGGGGUAAUGGCCUACCAAGCCGACGAUCCAUAGCUGGUUUGAGAGGAUGAUCAGCCACACUGGGACUGAGACACGGCCCAGACUCCUACGGGAGGCAGCAGUGGGGAAUCUUAGACAAUGGGGGCAACCCUGAUCUAGCCAUGCCGCGUGAGUGAUGAAGGCCUUAGGGUUGUAAAGCUCUUUCAGCUGGGAAGAUAAUGACGGUACCAGCAGAAGAAGCCCCGGCUAACUCCGUG